rnacentral:rRNA from 1 species
UACAGAGGUCUCAACCGUUGUUCGGAUUCAUUGGGCGUAAAGGGUGCGUAGGCGGUCGUGCAAGUCGGAUGUGAAAUCUCAGGGCUCAACCCUGAAACUGCAUUCGAUACUGCGCGGCUAGAGUGCUGGAGGGAGACGUGGAAUUUACGGUGUAGCAGUGAAAUGCGUAGAUAUCCGGAGGAACACCAGUGGCGAAGGCGACUUCCUGGCCUGUUCUUGACGCUGAGGCGCGAAAGCUGGGGGAGCAAACGGGAUAGAAACCC